UACGUAGGCAGCGAGCGUUGUUCGGAGUUACUGGGCGUAAAGCGUGCGUAGGCGGUGUCUUAAGUUUGUUGUGAAAUCUCCCGGCUUAACCGGGAGGGUGCGGCGAAUACUGAGAUGCUGGAGUGCCGGAGAGGUAAGCGGAAUUCCUGGUGUAGCGGUGAAAUGCGUAGAUAUUGGGAGGAACACCAGUGGCGAAGGCGGCUCACUGGACCGGUUCUGACGCUGAUGCGCGAAAGCGUGGGAGCAACGGG
rnacentral:rRNA from 1 species